UUGUAAAUGAGAGCUUGUUCUCAACUGGCCUACCUGGUUAAAUAAAGGUGAAAUAAAAAUUAAAAUGAGUAUGGACACGAGGACUAGGAGGGGAUCUGUAGCUCGCCGCUGUGUGCCAGGGAAGUCUGCUGCUCUGCAGGAUGUUUGAAGGAUGGAGUCCAACAACGCAGCAAGAGAGGCAAUCCGUGUGGGAGAUCUUCACCUCCUACUUCUUCGAAGAGGGUGUUCACUGAGGUCGUCUUGAGUGAUCGAGGUUGUGAACUCUGGAACAAGACUGGGCACCUGGCACCAUUUCCCAGUUCCUAUUCCAGUCCCCGACCUGGGUCCAGGCCUCCCAAGGUGUCCACACCCUACACAACAGAGAUCAGAGUCCACUGCUUCUGUCGGAAAUACGCGAGAAAAGAUGAAAUUCUGCAUCUAGUGACGUCUGAUUGCCCAACAAUCUGCCCACUCAUCCCAUCCCCUCAUCACAUCAUCUAAAGCUACUGUUAUUGUCAUGUUGUUAUUAUCUGCUAAUACAGUUUGCUAGCCUUAUCAUACUGGGCAUAUAAUAUGUGAGAUACACAGAUGAACUAAAAACACUAGCACUGCAAAGAGAACAAAGAGAGCAGCAGUGUCUGGACUUCACAGUUUCCCUCUUCAAGUCCCCCUUCCGAGACUGCCUGUUGAGAACAAGUGACAGGCAGAACCUCCCAACCACACAGCACCCACCUCCUUAUUCCACACACCAAAAUUAAGUAUUUCAUUCUGAUUGCCAUGCGAGUGUCCCAAAAAUAAUCUGUGAAAAUAAAUU